rnacentral:lncRNA from 1 species
GAAAAGUACUAAAAGACUGCUACAUUCAACUAUGAAACGCUCGGGGGCUUGUCGAGAUAGAUCCUCAGUACCGCAAGGAAGGAAGAAGACAGACUCCUACUAUGAUUCCUUUGUAAUCAUACUAUGACUCAUACCCUGUAAUCCCACUAGGACUCAUACCCUGUAACCAACUAGUAAUCCCGCCCCCUGGAGUAUAUAAAAGAGGGCAGGGGUCCCUAGAUCGGUAGGCGAAGACUUC